UUCCUGACAGAUUAAAACUGUGUGCCGGACCAAGACUCGAACUCGGUCCCGAGUUCGAGUCUCAGUCCGGCACACAGUUUUAAUCUGUCAGGAAGUUUCAUAACCAACUGCUUCAAUACAU